rnacentral:pre_miRNA from 1 species
CAUGUACUCCCUCCGUUCGGAAUUACUCGUCCAAGAAAUGAAUGUAUCUAGAUGUAUUUUAGUUGUAGAUACAUCCAUUUUUGUGACAAGUAAUUCCGAACGGAGGGAGUAUAUU